UCCAGGCAAAUCCGGAUAAUCAAGGCUGAGGUGUGAUGACGAGGCACUACGGUGCUGAAGUAACAAAUGCCCUGCUUCCAGGAAAAGCCUCUAAGCAUCAGGUAACAUCAAAUCGUACCCCAAACCGACACAGGUGGUCAGGUAGAGAAUACCAAGGCGCUUGAGAGAACUCGGGUGAAGGAACUAGGCAAAAUGGUGCCGUAACUUCGGGAGAAGGCACGCUGGUGUGUAGGUGAAGUCCCUGCGGAUGGAGCUGAGACCAGUCGAAGAUACCAGCUGGCUGCAACUGUUUAUUAAAA
rnacentral:rRNA from 1 species